AGCCAGCCCUGAAGAGAUGAAUACUAAACUGAACAUUGCUGGAUUGUUAAAGGCAUGACCUGAGGCCCCAGCCAAGGAUGAUGUGAGACAAACAGUUGAACAGAACCAAGCAAAAUAUAAGGCUUUCACAGACAAGCAACGAGGUGCUAAGGAACCAAAGUUUGAGUGUGGUUCCUCCAUUAGAAUACGAAAACUAGGAAUUUUAUGCAAAGGGGAUCAUAAAUUCACAGCUCCUCUUAAAA